GACGGAGGGUGCAAGCGUUGUUCGGAAUUACUGGGCGUAAAGGGCGCGUAGGCGGUCUGUUAAGUUCGGUGUGAAAGCCCCCGGCUCACCUGGGGAACUGCGCCGGAAACCGACAGACUCGAGUACCGGAGAGGAGGGUGGAAUUCCUGGUGUAGCGGUGAAAUGCGUAGAGAUCCGGAGGAACACCAGUGGCGAAGGCGGCCUUCUGGGUCGACCCUGACGCUGAGAGGCGAAAGCGUGGGGAACGAACGGG
rnacentral:rRNA from 1 species